rnacentral:rRNA from 1 species
UGGAGGCAGCAGUAGGGAAUAUUGGUCAAUGGGCGCAAGCCUGAACCAGCCAUGCCGCGUGCAGGAAGACGGUCCUAUGGAUUGUAAACUGCUUUUAUUUGGGAAUAAACCUCUUUACGUGUAGAGAGCUGAAGGUACCAAAUGAAUAAGCACCGGCUAACUCCGUGCCAGCAGCCGCGGUAAUACGGAGGGUGCAAGCGUUAUCCGGAAUCAUUGGGUUUAAAGGGUCCGCAGGCGGUCUUAUAAGUCAGUGGUGAAAGCCUACAGCUUAACUGUAGAACUGCCAUUGAUACUGUAAGACUUGAAUUCGGUCGAAGUGGGCGGAAUGUGACAUGUAGCGGUGAAAUGCUUAGAUAUGUCACAGAACACCGAUAGCGAAGGCAGCUCACUAGGCCUGGAUUGACGCUCAUGGACGAAAGCGUGGGGAGCAAACAGGAUUAGAUACCCUUGUAGUCC